rnacentral:lncRNA from 1 species
UAUUUUGGGGUGUUUUUGGGCUGCGUUUGGGCUGUUUUGGGGUGUUUUUGGGGUGUAUUUCAGCUGGUUUUGGGGUGUAUUUCAGCUGGUUUUGGGGUGUAUUUUGGGCUGUUUUGGGGCUGUAUUGGGGCUGUAUUUUGGGUGUAUUUCGGGUGUAUUUCAGGCUGUUUUUGGGCUGUAUUUCAGGCUGUAUUUCAGGCUGUUUUGGGGCUGUUUUUGGGGCUGUUUUUGGGGUGUUCUUGGGCUGUUUUUGGGGUGUUUUUGGGCUGUUUUUGGGGUGUUUUUGGGCUGUUUUUGGGGGUUCCCCUCCCCUCUAAGAUCUCCCUCCCCUCUCCAGGUGGGCUCCGAGUGCACCACGGUUCUCUACAACUUCAUGUGCAACAGCUCCUGCAUGGGGGGCAUGAACCGCCGGCCCAUCCUCACCAUCCUCACCCUCGAGGGGCCGGGGUGAGCCCCCAGAACAACCCCGACAGCUCCGUCACCCCCAAAAAACCGGGUCUCUGCACCGAAAUCUGAAUUUUCUGCACCAAAAUCCGGGGGUUUUGCCCCAAAAUUUGAAUUUUCUGCACAAAAAUUGGGGUUUUCUGCACCAAAAUUCGAGUUUUCUGCCCCAAAAUCUGAAUUUUCUGCACCAAAAUUCGAAUUUUCUGCCCCAAAAUCUGAAUUUUCUGCACCAAAAUCGGAAUUUUCUGCACCAAAAUUGGGGUUUUGUGCACCAAAAUUCGAAUUUUCUGCCCCAAAAUUGGAAUUUUCUACAUUGAAAUCUGAAUUUUCUGCACCGAAAUCGGGGUUUUCUGCACUGAAAUUGGGUUUUUUUGCCCCAAAAUUUGAAUUUUAUGCACGGAAAUUGGGGGUUUCUGCACCAAAAUUGGGGUUUUUUGCCCCAAAAUUGGAAUUUUCCACCCCAAAAUCCGGGAUUUCUGCACCAAAAUUUGAAUUUUCUGCACCAAAAUUGGAAUUUUCUGCCCCAAAAUCUGAAUUUUCUGCCCCAAAAUCGGAAUUUUCUGCCCCAGAAUUUGGGGUUUUUUCCCCAAAAUCGGAAUUUUCUGCUCUUAAAAAUGUGGGAUUUUUCUAAAAUCUGGGCUCGUUCGCUCCUAAAUUUGGGAUUUUUCACCCUAAAAAU